rnacentral:misc_RNA from 1 species
AACGCACGAGACCUGCGGACCUGCGGAGGGAUCAUUAAUGAGAAGCUGCCCCUCGCGGGUAGAUCUCCCACCCUUUGUAAACUUACCUUUGUUGCUUUGGCAGGCCCGUCUCCGGACCGCCGGCUUCGGCUGGCCAGUGCCUGCCAGAGGAUUCUAAAACUCUGUCUGUCAGUGUUGUCUGAGUCUAUAUACAAUCGUUAAAACUUUCAACAACGGAUCUCUAGAUCGGAAGAGCACACG